AUGCUAAGAGCAUGUGUCCUCACCUAUGGAACCAGUUGGGAAGAAAGCCUGCCAUAUGCCGAGUUCGCAUACAACAACAGUUACCAAUCCAGCCUACAAAUGGCACCUUUUGAAGCCCUGUCCGGACGGAGGUGUCGUACCCCAUUAAAUUGGUCAGAGACAGGAGACAGCCGUAUCUUCAGCCCAGACAUGCUCAAGGAAGCUGAAGAGAAAGUUAGACUCAUCAGGGAUCGACUCAAGACAGCGCAAAGUCGACAAAAGAGCUAUUACGAUCAGAAGCACCGUGAAGUCAGCUUUGAACCUGGUGAAUAUGUGUACCUACGAGUAUCCCCUAUGAGGGGCCUGCAACGGUUCAAGGUUAAAGGAAAGCUAGCACCAAGAUUUAUUGGACCCUUCUGUGUGGUUGCACGGAGAGGCACCGUAGCCUACCAGCUAGACCUACCCAAGGAGCUAUCAGACGUCCAUGACGUGUUCCACGUCUCACAGUUGAGGAAAUGUGUAAGCAACCCAGAGAAGCAGGUGUCACAUGAGAACAUUGAUGUGCAACCAGACCUCACCUAUAGGGAGCGUCCAACAAAGAUAUUAGAGGAGUCUGAAAGGAGGACCCGUCAGAAAGCAAUUAAGUUCUUCAAGGUUCAGUGGAGCAAUCACACCGAGGAUGAGGCGACAUGGGAAAGAGAGGACUCUCUCCGGGCAGAAUACCCACAUCUAUUUGAGGAUCAGCUAAAAUCUCGGGGACGAGAUUUUUCUUAA
rnacentral:rRNA from 1 species